AUGACUUAAAAGUUACCUUGCAUGUUUGCUUUAUUUUUAUUGUAGACAGAGUCAGGAGAGGCAGAGGAGGGAGUGGAGAUGAUAUUUCCAAAGGAGGGUCCAGACCAGAUUCAGACCUGGGCCAGAUUUAAACUUUAGGAUUAAGUCUGAUACACAUUCUACCUGGUGAGAGGAGAAACCGGGUGAAGCCCAGAAUCCUGUGAGAGCCAGAGUCUACAGAUUAGACGAUGCCACAGUCAGUGGGUGACCUGGCUGGACCUGGGGUUCCUCCAGCCUGCUGUCAACUGAGGUCACAACCAACUAACAAUGAAGGCCAAACAGGUUUCUUCAUAGCGAGUGAGUUACAAAAGAAAAUAAGGAGGAAAGGAUGAGUAUAAGCAUGAAUAAAAGUUAGGAUAUGUUGAUAUGUGUCCCCUGUUGCCUUUGUUUGGAAGUACUAUCUUCCUUGUUGUGCAUGUUGAUGUCUGAUGGACUUCAUCUGUGUUAUGUGAGUGUUUCUUUCUAUUUUUGUUCGCAAAGAGGUCAAAGUUUAAUUAACGAUACUCUACAUCCCAUGAUGCACAGGGUCUGCGAGAGCAUCUGUCACAGGCAAACACUGGAACCAAUUUGUCAUCUGGAGAGAGAGAAGAGUUUAAUCCCAUCGAUAAAAAAGAAAAAUAUCCAGAGAAGGGUGGACAUAAAAGUGGAGAGAUGGGGGACGAGGGAAGAUGAGGAAAGAGUGACAGCACAAAGAAGAAGAGGAGGAGGAAGAGGUGGACGAGAAAGAGGAGGAAGAAGAGGGAGACUGUAAUCCUGUCUAAUUCACUUAGUGUUGCGCUGAGGGAGCAGGACACUAAGAGGAUUUGGGACAUACUCUAAAUUAGAUCAGCAAGAAUAACAAACUGCAAGGAGAUGUAAGGAGUGAAGGGGGCACAGAGGAAGAGAUGGCAUGAAGGAAGAGGAUGUAGAAGGAAGUGAGCAUCUGAGACAACGGUGAAAAACCAGGUGGACAAGCAGAAAAAAGAUCUGUGACUUCCAUCAAAAAAUCUGACAUCUGCGGUCAAAUUUAAGAAAACUGAAAAAGUUUUGUUGAUGUGUUUAUUUUCACCAAAAUACACAAUGAUGUCUUAAAUGUGAAUCAUGCAGCUCACUGUGACUGAUGAAAGAUCUUAAAACUACAGCAGUGUGAUGCUGAUAAGACAUUCCAUACUCAACAAAAAUGAAAAAUGUAAACAUUAAACGGGACAGAGUUGCACUUAUAACACAGGAAAGACAAAUAAAAAGUACAAUACUGAUGACACGUGAUCUCUUUAACCUCAGAUGUGUGAACCAAAUUUAGUUUCUGAUCACAUUUGUGAUCUGGCGCCGUAAACCCAAAUACUCCCAUAAUCCAGACAACUGUUUUAGUCCAACAUAUCAUUAAUCUGUGGCUCUAAACUCUGACUUUUACUAUUAGUGAUAUUAACUAGGUGUUAAGUUGUAAUCUGCAGUAAAGCCCUUAGCAGAAGUCUAUGCUGAGGUUGACAGAGGCUGGUUGAUCCAUUCAUACUGUAACACUGAUCCUGUUACCACAACUAGCUGCAGAUCACUCACACCUACUUACACUGCUGUUCUGUGUGCUUUGGACGCAUUAUCACAUGAUUACACAUCUUACUUAAUGACUGAUCAAAAUUCUGUCAUUCAUCAACUGUCAGUUUGAUAGGUUAGUGCCAUGCCCUGAUACUUUCAUUAUUUGAUGAAGGCAGAUGUGGAUAAAGAUCCUAUACUGUUCACACUGAUUACUGCAGUAGAAGUGUUAUUUCAGUGAGUAAGAGUCAAUUAAUGUUUAUUUUUAAAUAGCAAUACUGAAAGUCCUACUGCAAACAUGCAUAUUCCUAUACACACAAUUAAUUACUCUGUGUUUAUAUUCAUGGAAAGGGUGCAUGUUCUCAUAAUUUUCACUCAAGACCAACCAUAGAUUAAAAACAAGAUUGAUAGAUUUGUAAUGCAAUUGCAUGAAACCACAAUUUACAGUUUAGUUUGUGGGCAGAGACCAGUGGUGACUCUUGUUCAGGUUUUUAAGUUUUAUGAAUCAACAAAUUUGACUUCUUACCAGAUUGGAAAUCACAUCGUUUCAUUCCCAUA